CCGCUCCGCCCGGGCUGCGGGGCGGGCCCCGUGGCUCCAGCCACGCCUCGGGGUGGGCCCCGCAGGCUGAGCCGUUCCUCCCCCGUGCCCCAGUCCCGCCGCCGCUGUGAGGGGAAGCAGCGGGGCGGGCUGAGGUGUCCUCAGCGCCCCGGGCCUCCGGCAGGAUCUCCCUCAGGCGACGGCACCCCGUAGGAAGUGAGAGGUCCCUGCAGCCCCCCCCCCGAGCCCGAGCUGCCUAUCGGAGCCCGCUCUUGAGUGAGGGGUAUGGGCUCCGCCGCUGUGGAUGCGGGGAGAGGGGGGACCGCCAUGCGGGGUCCGGGACCCUGUCACUGAAGAGCGGCAAAUGUUCAAGGAAGAAAAAAAGUAAAACAAUAUAGGGCAUAUCUGAAGCAUUUUGGCCCUCUCGUACAAAUCCAGUGUGGCCAUCAUCAGUUUGAGGACUUCAGUAUAUACUUGAAGUAUAUGGAUAAGGAAAAGAUGACUAAACAGAGGCCUGGAAAGGAGAUGUGACCAUCAAACACUACACAGAUCUGUUAAAGAAGUUGGGACAUGUUAACCUGAGUGGCAAAUAAUACAGAAGAAAAAUGACUAAAACUUGAAGUCAGACUCUGGCAUGCUUGAAUACCAUAUGCCUGCACUAUUGAGAGACUGGAACAGAGUAUCUGGAGAAAGAUGAGAGAGUGUGGGUGGCAAUAGAAAAAACAACCACGACUGUAAGUUAGCAAGAUAAUAUCCUUACUUUCUUCUGUGGGUCUCAAGAGUGAUUAAAAAAACAUUCAUGUUUUAAAAAUAUUGCUGAAGACUACAGUGUGACUCAUAAUGCUUCAGAGAAUGGAAUUCUUGGAAGUUUCACUGUAAUGCCAGAUUUUAGA